rnacentral:rRNA from 1 species
AGUGAACGUUGGCGGCGUGGAUUAGGCAUGCAAGUCGAGCGAGAACCGUAGCAAUACGGGGACAGCGGCGAAAGGGACAGUAAUGUGUAGGUACCUACCUCCGGGUUCGGGAUAGCUGCGGGAAACUGCAGGUAAUACCGAAUAACGUCUCCGGACCAAAGGUGUGAUUCCACCUGGAGAGGGGCCUGCAUCCCAUUAGCUUGUUGGCGGGGUAACGGCCCACCAAGGCGACGAUGGGUAGCGGGUGUGAGAGCACGACCCGCGUCAUUGGGACUGAGACACUGGCCAGACACCUACGGGUGGCUGCAGUCGUGAAUCUUCGGCAAUGGGCGCAAGCCUGACCGAGCGACGCCGCGUGCGGGAUGAAGGCCUUCGGGUUGUAAACCGCUGUCGUAGAGGAGGAAAUGCAGGGGGGUUCUCCCCUCUGUUUGACCUAUUCUAGGAGGAAGUACGGGCUAAGUUCGUGCCAGCAGCCGCAGUAA